rnacentral:rRNA from 1 species
AACGAACGCUGGCGGCAUGCCUAACACAUGCAAGUCGAACGAGACCUUCGGGUUUAGUGGGGCUCGGGUGCGUAACGCGUGGGAACCUGCCCUUAGGUUCGGAAUAACUCCCCGAAAGGGGUGCUAAUACCGGAUAAUGUCUUCGGACCAAAGAUUUAUCGCCUUUGGAUGGGGCCGCGUUGGAUUAGCUAGUUGGUAGGGUAAAAGCCUACCAAGGCGACGAUCCAUAGCUGGUCUGAGAGGAUGAUCAGCCACACUGGGACUGAGACACGGCCCAGACUCCUACGGGAGGCAGCAGUGGGGAAUAUUGGACAAUGGGCGAAAGCCUGAUCCAGCGAUGCCGCGUGGGUGAUGAAGGCCUUGGGGUUGUAAAGCUCUUGUACCCGGGAUGAUAAUGACGGUACCGGGAUAAUAAGCUCCGGCUAACUCCGUG